rnacentral:sRNA from 1 species
GCUCUUUUCUCGGGACGGGAGAGGCCGUGUAGCGUCGCCGUUACUGCGAGGAGAGACCAGUCGGUAGAGGGAAGAGCGCAGGCGCCGUGAAGAAGAGAUGCGGCGGCAGCAAGAAGAAAUGAUGCGGCGACAGCAGGAAGGAUUCAAGGGAACCUUCCCUGAUGCGAGAGAGCAGGAGAUUCGGAUGGGUCAGAUGGCUAUGGGAGGUGCUAUGGGCAUAAACAACAGAGGUGCCAUGCCCCCUGCUCCUGUGCCAGCUGGUACCCCAGCUCCUCCAGGACCUGCCACUAUGAUGCCAGAUGGAACUUUGGGAUUGACCCCACCAACAACUGAACGCUUUGGUCAGGCUGCUACAAUGGAAGGAAUUGGGGCAAUUGGUGGAACUCCUCCUGCAUUCAACCGUGCAGCUCCUGGAGCUGAAUUUGCCCCAAACAAACGUCGCCGAUACUAAUAAGUUGCAGUGUCUAGUUUCUCAAAACCCUUAAAAGAAGGACCCUUUUUGGACUAGCCAGAAUUCUACCCUGGAAAAAUGUUAGGGAUUCCUUCCAAUAGUUAGAUCUACCCUGCCUGUACUACUCUAGGGAGUAUGCUGGAGGCAGAGAGGGCAAGGGAGGGGUGGUAUUAAACAAGUCAAUUCUGUGUGGUA